rnacentral:rRNA from 1 species
UAGAGGAAGUAAAAGUCGUAACAAGGUUUCCGUAGGUGAACCUGCGGAAGGAUCAUUAAAGAGACGUUGCCCUUCGGGGUCGACCUCCCACCCUAUGUUUAUCAUACCUCUGUUGCUUUGGCAGGCCCGUCCUCGGACCACCGGCUCCGGCCGGUCCGUGCCUGCCAGGGGACCUAAAACUCUGUUUGUUAAUGCAGUCUGAGUACUAUAUAAUAGUUAAAACUUUCAACAACGGAUCUCUUGGUUCUGGCAUCGAUGAAGAACGCAGCGAAAUGCGAUAAGUAAUGUGAAUUGCAGAAUUCAGUGAAUCAUCGAAUCUUUGAACGCACAUUGCGCCCCCUGGUAUUCCGGGGGGCAUGCCUGUUCGAGCGUCAUUACAACCCUCAAGCUCUGCUUGGUAUUGGGCCCCGCCGGUUCCGGCGGACCCUAAAGUCAGUGGCGGUGCCUUCCGGCUCCGAGCGUAGUAAUUCUUCUCGCUCUGGAGACCCGGCUGUGUGCUUGCCAGCAACCCCCAAUUUUUUAAGGUUGACCUCGGAUCAGGUAGGGAUACCCGCUGAACUUAAGCAUAU